UAAAUUUUCCCGGGGAGCUCGAAAGGGCUGAGAAAGGCUAUAUGCCUGACCCGCUGAACCUGAAUCGGGUAAUACCGACGAAGGGAGAGAAAUUAAUAACUCCC
rnacentral:ncRNA from 2 species